rnacentral:rRNA from 1 species
UACAGAGGUCUCAAGCGUUGUUCGGAUUCAUUGGGCGUAAAGGGUGCGUAGGCGGCGCGGUAAGUCGGGUGUGAAAUUUCGGAGCUUAACUCCGAAACUGCAUUCGAUACUGGCGUGCUUGAGGACUGGAGAGGAGACUGGAAUUCAUGGUGUAGCAGUGAAAUGCGUAGAGAUCAUGAGGAAGACCAGUGGCGAAGGCGGGUCUCUGGACAGUUCCUGACACUGACGCUGAGGCGCGAAAGCUAGGGGAGCGAACGGG